GCGAGCGAAGCGGGAAAAGCUCAAAUUUGUAAUCUGGCGUCUACGACGUCCGAGUUGUAAUCUCGAGAAGUGUUUUCCGUGAUAGACCGCAUACAAGUCUCUUGGAACAGAGCGUCAUAGUGGUGAGAACCCAGUACACGAUGCGGAUGCCUAUUACUUUGUGAUACACUUUCGAAGAGUCGAGUUGUUUGGGAAUGCAGCUCAAAUUGGGUGGUAAAUUCCAUCUAAAGCUAAAUAUUGGCGAGAGACCGAUAGCGAACAAGUACCGUGAGGGAAAGAUGAAAAGCACUUUGGAAAGAGAGUUAACAGUACGUGAAAUUGUUGGAAGGGAAACACAUGCAGCCAGACUUGCUAUUCGGGGCAACUCGAUUGGCAGGCCCGCAUCAGUUUUUCGGGGCGGAAAAUCAUAGAGAGAAGGUAGCAAUUUCGGUUGUGUUAUAGCUCUUUAUUGGAUUCGCCCUGGGGGACUGAGGAACGCAGCGUGCUUUUAGCAUAAGCUUCGGCUUAUCCACGCUUAGGAUGCGGGUGUAAUGGCUGUAUAUGA
rnacentral:rRNA from 1 species